rnacentral:rRNA from 1 species
GAUGAACGCUGGCGGCGUGCCUAAUACAUGCAAGUCGAGCGAACAGACGAGGAGCUUGCUCCUCUGACGUUAGCGGCGGACGGGUGAGUAACACGUGGAUAACCUACCUAUAAGACUGGGAUAACUUCGGGAAACCGGAGCUAAUACCGGAUAAUAUAUUGAACCGCAUGGUUCAAUAGUGAAAGACGGUUUUGCUGUCACUUAUAGAUGGAUCCGCGCCGCAUUAGCUAGUUGGUAAGGUAACGGCUUACCAAGGCAACGAUGCGUAGCCGACCUGAGAGGGUGAUCGGCCACACUGGAACUGAGACACGGUCCAGACUCCUACGGGAGGCAGCAGUAGGGAAUCUUCCGCAAUGGGCGAAAGCCUGACGGAGCAACGCCGCGUGAGUGAUGAAGGUCUUCGGAUCGUAAAACUGUGUUAUUAGGGAAGAACAAAUGUGUAAGUAACUAUGCACGUCUUGACGGUACCUAAUCAGAAAGCCACGGCUAACUACGUG